UCGCGUUACAGCCCUAGAUUCUUGUUGUAUUCUAAAUGACGGAAGUGUGGAACGUGCGUGCGCUCUUCGAUCAGUAACGGCAACGCUUGAUUCAAAGGGGUCCCCGUUUUGGGAUUGUUGUCUACUACAAGUCGUGCAAACGGCAAGAGUCGACUUUCCAGUGAACUGGAUACGAGUAAUGGGUUUCUGAGGCCAUACUAUAACGAUGUGACGAUUGCUCGUGCGUUGAAAGCAUUUUGAUCACUCUAACAGCGUAUUGUGGGUUAAUUUCAAUCUCCACAAUCAUAUCUGCUUCUUGAGACUUGAGUUUGUAAUUUGACAUUGAAUAACAAGAAGAACGACACGGAAACCAUAAUGUUUUGAAUACAUGGCCUCUAUGAAGAGUGGUAUAGGCGAGUCUAUGGCACGUGCAGUCAAGAUCAAACCGUUUCAACAUCCUCAGUUAAUUAAUUAAAUUGAUUGAAGUUGUUUUCUUUCAUAGUACGCUGUAGUCUAGAAGAUAGGAUGCUUCUUGUUAAGAUGUGCAAGUGGCGUGUACAAUUAGAGAUAGCUCCGCCUUAUUAUUCACUGGGAUGCAUUGUCAGCUGACGCUCCGUUUGGCCUUGUUUUGGCUCACUGAAGAGAAUUUGUUUAGGAGCACUGUCAAACAUGUCUAAAGAGUGCACCUGGGCCAGUUGCUUGUUCUUGCUCAGUUUGUGUUGGAAUGUCUGUAAGGCCAGAAUUGAGCUUGUGCAAGUUCUUUUUGAUGACACCGAAGACAAGCAGCCCAACAUAACUUGCACAAACAUGGAUAUCACAGGGUUACUGCAUGGGAGCCAAAUAUGCGGGAAGUGGCCAUCGGGCCUGCAGACUUGUUGUUUAUGGGAUUCUGAUUUUGGAGCAGUGUGCAGUUGUGCUUCUGCUUGCACUGUAACUGCCCAUUGUUGUGCAGUUGUUGUGACUUCUGUGGGCCGGUACUGCUGCAUCCAGAAACUGAUCGGUCAUGUUCGGACCAAAGCAGCAAAACACACCAGGAUGUGCAUUGUAGACUUGACGUCUUCUAAACAUUUGAGCUGCAACAAAUCGGUUGUAAUUUGUGUAACUGCAGGUUGCAUUGCUGGUGAUCAAGAAACAGUGUCAGCAACUGAUCAUGCAGAAGUGAAACAUGCGCCAUUGUCUCUACCGCUACAAUUGGUAAAUCGCUUCGAUGGCUUAGAAUCUGUUACCAUGGUGCCAGGCUCUGGAAUUGGUCAGACAGAGAGCAUGCUUUCACACAUACUACUUGGUCUGCUGAUUGCAAUUUCUUUGGGAAUGACUACAAUUUGGUUGACAUUCUUACUGAUGUACCUACAUCGUAGAUGGUGGCAGGCAAGACAGCAAAAUACGGUACGCACAGAGUAACGUACUCCAGCACUGGCUGAGUAGGAUAUGAGAACGUUGGCAGUUUAAAACGCGGUCGUGUUGUGAAUUACUAUUACCGGUAUGUGUUUGUGUGCCAAAUUCUUGUUGAGAGUGGAAAGGUGAUAUUUAUCUUACAUGACGAGCUCAGUUAAUUAAUUGAUUAACUUACUGGUUUCGGUUAGUAAACAGUAUCUGUAUUAUUGGA